rnacentral:tRNA from 1 species
ACCUAUUUAAUAUAACACGUAUAUUUGACUUCCAAUCAAAAGGUCUGAGCAAUAUCUCAGAAUAGGUA